rnacentral:rRNA from 1 species
AUGAGGAUUCGGAUGCCGCGCUCGCGGGGAAGCCGUGGACGCCAGCAGCGUGCCCGUGAUGGCGCGCCGGAGCUGCAGCUGCUCGAAGAAGAGCACCUGCAGCACCGCGCGCAGCAGGAGCCGCUCGUUCUGCGCCGCGUGCGUGCACGCCUCCAUCGUCAGCUUCCUGCAGUCCACCACGCCGCACACCCUGUUCCGCUCCUCCGCCGUCAGCCGCGGAUGCGCCUGCGCAUGCAUGCACCAGUCACGAGCCAUGGAGUCGGCAACAAACUGCUACUCGACAAACGCGCAUUCUUCCUUGACUUGUCAGAAGCAGUCAAUGACAAAUCGGGGAAUGUACGUACCUUGAGGUAG